AUGGUGCGGGGGAAGACGCAGAUGAAGCGGAUAGAGAACCCGACGAGCCGGCAGGUGACCUUCUCCAAGCGCCGCGGCGGCCUGCUGAAGAAGGCCUUCGAGCUCUCCGUCCUCUGCGACGCCGAGGUCGCCCUCGUCGUCUUCUCCCCCCGCGGCAGGCUCUACGAAUUCGCCAGCUCCAGCAUGAAGAACACAAUUGAACGUUAUAAGACAGUCACAAAGGAUAAUAUCAGCAGACAGACGGUACAGCAAGAUAUAGAGAAAAUAAAAGCUGAUGCUGAGGGCUUGUCAAAGAAGCUUGAUGCUCUUGAAGCCUGCAAAAGCAAACUUUUGGGUCAAAAUUUGGAAGAAUGCUCUAUUGAAGAACUGCAAAGCUUGGAGCUCAAAAUUGAAAAAAGCCUUCUAGGCAUCAGGGCAGUGAAGACUCGGCGGUUUGAAGAGCAGCUCUCUACGUUGAGGCAGAAGGAGACAAAGUUGCGGCAGGACAAUGAAGAACUAUAUAGCCAGUGCCAGAAGGAACAGCACCUUGCGUUGGCGGCGCCCCCUGCUCCGGCGACCUUGGCGGCGCCCCCUGCUCCGGCGACCUUGGCGGAGCAGAGCCAGGACGUGGUGGAUGUGGAGACGGAUCUAUUUCUUGGAUUGCCCGGCACCGGCCGCUCCUGA
rnacentral:rRNA from 1 species